rnacentral:misc_RNA from 1 species
UACGGAGGGUGCAAGCGUUGUCCGGAUUUAUGGGGUUUAAAGGGUGCGUAGGCGGCCCGUUAAGUCAGCGGUGAAAUCCCGGGGCUCAACCCCGGAACUGCCGUUGAUACUGGCGGGCUUGAGGUCGGUCGAGGCGGGCGGAACUGGUGGUGUAGCGGUGAAAUGCAUAGAUACCACCAAGAACCCCGAUUGCGAAGCCAGCUCGCUGGGCUGAAACUGCCGCUGAGGCACGAAAGCGUGGGGAGCGAACAGG